rnacentral:lncRNA from 1 species
GACCUAAAUGACACCUAUACUUGUGUCAUUUUGUCAUGUCGGUCCCCCUACUUUAUUUUUUUCAUUCAGACACUUUAACGUGUUCAAAAUCUAUAUUUUAAACCCCUCUGACAGUUGACCAAACACAUGUGGCAAAAUAAUGGUUAAGCUGGACAAAGUGAGUGUAAUUCACGCGUACAAUGAACAUGAAUAUGAACAUUUUGAACCAGAAAUAAUUAAAAGAAAAAUCAUUAAAAUAAGAAUGAAAAAUAAAUAAGUAAAAAAAAAAAGCAAAAGAAAUAUCAUGUACACUUCUUCUUCUUCCCCACUCUCCCCCUCCCUCACAACACCCCCUUCCCUUUUCGUUCCUUGACAAGGCUCUCUUUUUGGGUGUUAAUGCAUCUCUGUCAGUCCAAGCUUCUCAAUUUCUUGGAGUUAAGCCCAAUUAUAUUUAUUUUACUGAUGAUUUUUAUGAACAAUACAGUGACUAUGAAGAAGGGGCGACUUGGACAUGGGUAUUUUCAACAUAGCAGAUGACAUCUAUAAGGGUCACUAUAAGUGUCUUUCCCUUAAUCGUUUUACUCCACCAAUGUGGCUUGGUGGAGUAACUUGGCGGGGCGACCCGGACGGUGACGACUUGCAACCGGUGUUUGCAGCCAUGAUGUCUCCAAUCUCUUGCCUUGUCUUCAAUAUCAUAGAUCUGAGCCUCAAUUGGAAGGUUAUUUUCUUAAGUGCAAACCUACUGGCUCUUUUCCGUUAAACUUUGAAAUUCGGAGGAGAAAACCAACAACCCUUGUUCCGUCAUUAAUUUCCCUCUAUUUUCAAUCUCUGUUCCGCCAUUGAUUUUCCUCCAUUAAAAUGAGUGAAAAAUUUGGGUUUGGGGGAUAAUAAUCAUUUCUCGUUUUAUUUUUCUAUGUGACCAUAAUAAAUGGCCAGAGCCUGCGUGGUUUAAUUUUUUUGACCUGGCGGUGAACGUGGAGGAGAUUGUAUUACACGCAGUACAGUCUCCUAUCAUAAGCGUUUAUUAUACACGUUUUGAAGGAGUGUAAGUGUUCAAUUGGUAAAUUAUUAAGUUUGGGGACCGUCAUGACAAAGUGACACAAUUAUAGCUGUUAUUUAGGCUAUUCUGCCUUAAUUAAUAUAUAUUUUCACUUAUAUUUAUCAUUUAAACAAUACAAAUUACUGGAAUUUGAUAUAAAAUCACAUGCAGAGGAUCUAUAGCCCAAUUUAUGGGUCAUACGAACCCAAUCUAUUGGAAUUCUAGAAUUGGUCCAAUAUUAUGUAUUGGUACUCAUGAUUCAUAAAAGCUAAAUGGCGUACCUGGGUCAAUUCCCAUUUAACAUUAUUUUCCCCUACUUUUUUAGUGAUGCACCCAAGUUUUUUCCGCUUCUGAAUUCACAUGCGACUAAGUUUUCGUGAUGAAAACCUCUAUGUGAACACAAUACAUAUCACUUAGAUACCUUUCAAUUCAUUAAGUAAUUCUUAGAUACCUAAAGGAGGAUAUAACUAGAAGAGAUACAAUUCUGUCAUGAUAUUUUUUUUUAUUCUGGUUAAAGAUACAAAAAAAUCAAUGAAAUCUCAAGAUAUUUCACAAACUCCGGCCUUUACUUUCAACUCAUAAUUAAUCUUUCCUUCUGUGUUUCAAGCAGAGUGAUAAUAUCCACUAAGAGUGACCGUCCAUGUGUUAAUAUUUACUUCCACACACAUCUCCCAUAUAUUUGGGAAAAAGGUAAUAUGAUUUUGGCUUCAAGUGUGAAAAUUGUAAGGUGAUAGAUCAAGAUAAGCAACAAGUGUUAAAUAUUUUGCCAACCCAGAAAGAAUCCAAUCCAAACCAUCAAAAUCUUCCAAAUUGUUGUUAAAAAAAUCCAAGACAAUUUCAGGCUUUCGUUUCAUUGUACUACACCAAUUUCCAAAAAAAUAAUUAAAAAAACUUUCAAUUUCAUCCAUUGAAAUUCAAUCCACCUCCAUUCAUUCCCUUCCAUACGAAUUCCACCUCCCAAAAGUACCUAAACUUUUACUUCUUAUUUUCUUUUUCCCUCAUUAUUCAUUGUAACCAUGAAGGGGUGACUUGGAGCAACAUUAAAAUUGUCUCCUAUAACAUUUCUCCGCAUAGAAUGCAGGAUGCUUUUGGGGGAUAAAAAAUAACCUGAUUUAUAACUGGUAAUUGAAAAUAGCCACAAUUUUAAUAGUAAUCAAAAUUUAGCCAUUUUUCAUGUAAAGAUAAAAUCUGAACAAAAACACAAUUAAAAAUCUGAAAAAAUUCCAUUAUAAUAUACUGGAGUUCGAAUUUUUUAUAUAUAAGAUUCAAGCAUAAAUUUCAACAUAAUAUACUGGAAGUUUAUACGCAGGAGCUCCAUAAUCCAGCAUAUUAUGCUGGAACUUUUCAUGUUUUAGUUAGAGUAUUUUUGUUCAGAUUUUAUCUCCGCAUAAAAUAAUAGUUAUUUUUCAAUAAUUUGCAUUAAUUUAAAGUUUGGCUAGUCCAUACUAUUUUCACGAUACAUUGUGCACGGACUAUCUUUUCUUUAUUCAUCAGAUCCACGUCGAAAAAAGAAAAAAAGAAAUAAACUACUGGCUAAUAGAAAAACAAGAUCCAACAGAACCAAAAAUCUUGUGUCUUUUUCCUCCAAAUUGGUGCCUAGUGUCACUUCACUCUUCACCCACCACCACCAGAUCUGAAAAUUGGUAUUCCCCAAUAAAUUUAUAAAAAAAAUAAUAUGGGGGCAGAUUAAUAAUUAAACACAAAUAUAAAAAUAGCACCUUGUGUAAAGACAGCGUAUCCUCAAUCUCAACAACCCAUUACCACCACCCACUUUUUGUUCAUCUCAUGAAAAACCAUAAAUAAACAUCAGAUUUCAUACACAAAGGAGAGCCUACCCUUAUAUAUAUAGUGAAAAACCAAAGCUUAAAACUUUGUAUACUUUUCUUUUAUCUUUCAUCCCUUUUAGGGGGUGUUCAAAUCUUGAAAACCAAGAUUAGUUUCUUCUUUUUUUGGGGCCAAGAAAAUGGAGCGUGCUAGAAAAUUGGCAAACAGGGCAAUUCUGAAACGUUUGGUUUCAGACUCAAAACAGAGCCGUGCCAAUGAAAUCCCAUCAUCUGCAGCAUUAUACAGACCUUCAAGGUAUGUUUCUUCAUUAUCACCUUACACAUUUCAGGCUAGAAAUGGUAACAAUAUGUUGCAUGGAAAAGUUGGGAAUUUCAAUAGGCAACAACAACAUGUUAGAUCAAUAUCUGUUGAGGCAUUGAAGCCAAGUGAUACUUUCCCAAGGCGACACAACUCAGCCACCCCACAAGAACAAACCCAAAUGGCUGAGUUUUGUGGGUUUUCAAGCCUUGAUUCCCUUAUUGAUGCCACUGUCCCUCAAUCUAUCCGUAUUGAAUCCAUGAAGUUUUCUAAGUUUGAUGAGGGAUUAACUGAGGCACAAAUGAUUGACCACAUGUCAAAAUUAGCUUCAAUGAAUAAGGUUUUCAAGUCAUAUAUUGGGAUGGGAUAUUAUAACACUUUUGUACCACCUGUUAUUUUGAGGAAUAUUAUGGAGAAUCCUGCUUGGUAUACUCAGUAUACUCCUUAUCAGGCUGAGAUUUCGCAGGGACGUCUCGAGUCCCUGCUGAAUUAUCAGACCAUGAUUACAGAUCUUACUGGUUUGCCAAUGUCCAAUGCAUCUUUACUAGAUGAAGGGACCGCGGCAGCUGAGGCUAUGGCCAUGUGUAAUAAUAUUUUCAAGGGGAAAAAGAAAACUUUCCUUAUUGCUAGCAAUUGUCACCCUCAGACUAUCGAUAUUUGUAAGACUAGAGCUGAUGGAUUUGGGAUUAAGGUAGAGACUGUUGAUCUUAAGGACAUUGAUUAUAAAUCUGGUGAUGUUUGUGGGGUAUUAGUUCAGUAUCCGGGAACUGAAGGUGAAAUCUUGGACUAUGGGGAGUUUAUUAAGAAUGCACAUGCUCAUGGAGUGAAGGUUGUUAUGGCAUCGGAUCUUUUGGCAUUGACAAUGUUGAAACCUCCUGGUGAAUUUGGAGCAGAUAUUGUUGUUGGUUCUGCUCAGAGGUUUGGAGUGCCUAUGGGUUAUGGAGGCCCUCAUGCGGCUUUCUUGGCAACUUCUCAAGAAUACAAGAGAAUGAUGCCCGGAAGAAUCAUUGGUGUCAGUGUUGAUUCUUCAGGGAAACCUGCUCUGCGUAUGGCAAUGCAAACCAGGGAACAGCACAUCCGCAGAGACAAGGCUACAAGCAACAUUUGUACAGCACAGGUACUGACUGAACUAAUGUUUCAUCAACUGUUUCAAAAAAUAUGUAUGCCAUACCGAUAUUUAUCCUCCUAGAUUCUCUGUUAUGCAACAUUCUUAUAAUGUAUUAGUAAGAAUUUUAAGCGGUUUGAAAAAUGUUUACUUUUCUGCUUGUAUGCGAUGUGUUGUAUAGACAUGAGCGGUAGGGAGUAACAAGAAACAACUAACUAGUUUGUUUUUCUUGCAAGAAAGUAUCUGUCUCUCAUUUGUGCAUUGGAAUGCUCUGAUGCACACGCUAUGCUACUUAUUUUCUUGCAGUGGUUUAUGAUAUUGUACAUUUCUUAUGUAGGCCUUGCUUGCGAACAUGGCUGCCAUGUAUGCAGUCUAUCAUGGACCGGAGGGGCUAAAAACCAUUGCCCAACGUGUUCAUGGUCUUGCCGGAACACUUGCUGCUGGGCUCAAAAAGCUAGGAACGGUAGAAGUUCAGGAUCUUCCAUUCUUUGACACUGUGAAGGUUAAGUGUGCUGAUGCAAAAGCAAUUGCUGAUGUUGCUUACAAGAAUGAAAUUAACUUGAGGGUUGUGGACAGC